UGGGGAAUAUUGGACAAUGGGGGCAACCCUGAUCCAGCCCAGCCGCGUGAGUGAAGAAGGCCCUCCGGUCGGGAAGCUAUUUAGGUUGGGAAGAAGGGUAUUCAGGAAUAGCCUAGUAAAUGACGUACCUACAGAUAGCCACC
rnacentral:rRNA from 1 species